rnacentral:rRNA from 1 species
AACGCGUGGGAACCUGCCCAGUAGUAGAGAAUAACUUGAGGAAACUUAAGCUAAUACUUUAUACACCCUUCGGGGAAAAGCUUUAUGCGCUAUUGGAUGGGCCCGCGUUAGAUUAGUUUGUUGGUGAGGUAAUGGCUCACCAAGACUACGAUCUAUAGCUGGUCUGAGAGGAUGAUCAGCCACACUGGGACUGAGACACGGCCCAGACUCCUACGGGAGGCAGCAGUGGGGAAUAUUGGACAAUGGGGGCAACCCUGAUCCAGCGAUGCCGCGUGAGUGAUGAAGGCCUUCGGGUUGUAAAACUCUUUCGUCAGGGAAGAUAAUGACGGUACCUGAAGAAGA